rnacentral:rRNA from 1 species
GAGGUCCCAAGCGUUGUUCGGAUUCACUGGGCGUAAAGGGUGCGUAGGUGGUGAGGUAAGUCGGAUGUGAAAGCUCGGAGCUCAACUCCGAAAUGGCAUUGGAAACUACCUUGCUCGAGGGUUGGAGGGGGGACUGGAAUACUUGGUGUAGCAGUGAAAUGCGUAGAUAUCAAGUGGAACACCAGUGGCGAAGGCGAGUCCCUGGACAACUCCUGACACUGAGGCACGAAAGCUGGGGGAGCAAACAGGAUUAGAUACCCUGGUAGUCCUAGCCGUAAACGGUGCACGUUUGCUGUAAAAGGAAUCGACCCCUUUUGUGGCGGAGCCAACGCGUUAAACGUGCCGCCUGGAAAGUACGGUCGCAAGAUUAAACUUCAAAGAAAUUGACGGGGGCCUGCACAAGCGGUGGAGUAUGUGGCUCAAUUCGAUGCAACGCGAAGAACCUUACCUGGCCUUGACAUGCAUAUAGUAGAAGGUGAAAGCCUGACGAGGUAGCAAUACCAGUAUGCACAGGUGCUGCAUGGCUGUCGUCAGCUCGUGUCGUGAGGUGUUGGGUUAAGUCCCGCAACGAGCGCAACCCCUGUGUCCUGCUGCCACCCCGGCGUGAGUCGGGAGCACUCUGGACAGACUGCCUCGCUUAAACGAGGAGGAAGGUGGGGAUGACGUCAAGUCAGUAUGGCCCUUACGGCCAGGGCUGCACACGUACUACAAUGCCCGGCACAAAGGGAAGCGAGACCGUAAGGUGGAGCAAAUCCCCAAAAACCGG